rnacentral:rRNA from 1 species
UACGGAGGAUGCAAGCGUUAUCCGGAAUGAUUGGGCGUAAAGCGUCCGCAGGUGGCGAUGUAAGUCUGCUGUUAAAGAGUGAGGCUCAACCUCAUAAGAGCAGUGGAAACUACAUAGCUAGAGUACGUUCGGGGCAGAGGGAAUUCCUGGUGUAGCGGUGAAAUGCGUAGAGAUCAGGAAGAACACCAGUGGCGAAGGCGCGCUACUGGGCCAUUACUGACACUCAUGGACGAAAGCUAGGGGAGCGAAAGGG